rnacentral:tRNA from 1 species
UCCCUGGUGGUCCAGCGGCUAAGACUCCGCCUUCCCAAUGCGGGUGGGCCUAGGUUCGACCCCUGGUUGGGGAA